rnacentral:lncRNA from 1 species
CCAAAACCAGCAGGAGAGAGAGAGAAAUAAGAACAAACCCUAGAGUGAGAAAAUUCAAAGAAAAAGUGUGAUUUUUUAAGGAAUCAAGUGUUUAAAGGUAUGAUUUUUCAAGCUUAGCUUAAGAUUUAUCAUUUCCAUGCAUUUCCCAUCAUUUUUCAUGGUUGAAUCAUGUGAUUUGAGGAUGAAUUCAAUUCUGAAAAAAUGGGUAAGGAGAGAGAAACUUGUUAGAUUAAUUUGAUUCUAAGUUAUGUUAGUGUUUUAAGUUAGUUUAGCAUAUUUAGGAACAAAACAACAAGAAAAGAAUUUAUUUUCCUCCAUUACCAUUAUUGGCUGAAUUUUCUAGGGGAAUAUUGGCUGAUGAUCUUGAUGUUUAUUUGAGGAAUUAUGAUGAAUAAUGAUGAAUUAUGAGUCUAGAAAAAUAAUGAGAAUUUUCGGAGCAAAAAUACGAAUUUUUACCCAUUAUGGAUAUUUUCGUAAUUUGCUACCGGGACUAAUAAUUUGCACCACACUGAGGGAUAUUAAGUCAAUUUGGGUGCAAUUGAGGUAUAGAAACUGAAAAAAAUUAAUUUGGAGUUUAAACGGAUGCAUAUAUCGAUUUAAUCGAGUAAUAGGCCGAAUUAGGUCAGCACCGCAUUUAAGCAGUAGUCGGAUAAGUUGCAUGUCAUAUCAUGCAUAUAUACCAAGCCUGAAUUGAUUUUAUAAUGGUCAAGCAUUGAUGUGGUGAAUUAUGUAUUGUACAUUGUGGAUAGGUGGUGAGCAAAUUACACUGGUAAAAGUACAGAAAUUGUGCUUGAAGACUGAGAUUAGGAGUACAUCGACUCCUAGAACUGUGAGUGGACAAUUUAUCGUCUUAAAUAUCUAGAGUAAUUAUACUUGUUUGAUGUUUUUAUUGAAUGUUGAGCUUAAAUUAUAAAAUAUUAUGUUUUCCAAUUAAAAUGUUUUUUAAUAAAAAUGAAAUUUAUACUGGUUUUGAAAUCAAAUAUUGUUUGAAAAAAUUGAGUAUAUGGAGACUAUGUUGAAAUUUAUGAUUUUAUAUGUUAUUGAAAUCGGGGCUUAUGACAAUAUGGUAGCAUGAUGGCUAAAUUUUUGAGGUUGGCAUGAAAUAUAUGAAUAGUUUUGGAUUGGUCUUGGUAGACUGAAUUACAUUUUAUUCGUCAUAUUAUGCUACUGAAAUUUUUAUGGGUCUGGUGGUAUAUUAAACGAUCACUGUAGUGGUGGGAGUUUUCGUGGACUACCUAUGAGAGGGGCACGAUAACCCAAUUAUAUAUUUACCUCCGGGGGGAGAUGUUGGAUGAAGUAUCUCCUGAUGUAAGAUUUGAAUGCACCUCACGAUCACUGCAGUGGUGGGGGUUUUCGUGAACUGCCUAUGAGAGGAGGACGGUAACUCAAUUAUAUACUUACCUCCGGGGGGAGAUGUUGGGUGAAGUAUCCCUUGAGGUAUGAUUUGAGUGCACCUCACGUUCGGGCCACCACGUGAGAGUGAGACUCAACCAACGCCAAGGAACGGCUGUGUGUCAGAUGUGAAAACAUGUUUAUGGGUAUGGGUCAUUGAACAGCCUUAGCGGUCUCAGUGGGAUACCUUGAUGAAGGUACCCGCAAGAAUGAUUCUGGCAGGGGCCAAGUUUAAGAAAUUCAUAAACUAGGAAAUUUUGAUGAAAAGAAAUUAUUUGGUAUAGAUUGAAACGAAUUUUGUGUUAUGAACAUUAUUGAGAUAUAACGUUUUUAUAUUGUCUCCAUCUACUCGGCUUUAGAUGCUUUUGAUGGUAAUUGUUUACUCACUGGGAUUAUUUAAUCUCACCCCUCUUCCUAUCCAUUUUUCAGGCUCAGGACAGUUUGUUGAUAGUUGAUUAAGACGAGAAUUAAUCUCGGAGUUGCAUCAUAGGAAGUAAGGGUUCGUAGCUCUACACCUUCUUGGUUAGUUGGGGGCCCACGUGUCNAAUCUCACCCCUCUUCCUAUCCAUUUUUCAGGCUCAGAACAGUUUGUUGAUAGUUGAUUAAAACGAGAAUUAAUCUCGGAGUUGCAUCAUAGGAAGUAAGGGUUCGUAGCUCUAUACCUUCUUGGUUAGUUGGGGACCCACGUGUCACUGUAAACGAAAUUUCAUACUUUCAUUAUUUUUAUUACUAUAUGAAUAAAUUUAUUUUACUCUUACGCUACAAAAG